UACGAAGGGUGCAAACGUUGCUCGGAAUCAUUGGGCGUAAAGCGCACGUAGGCGGCUUCGCAAGUCGGAUGUGAAACCCCUCGGCUCAACCGAGGACGUGCAUACGAAACUGCGGAGCUUGAGUGCUGAAGAGGAUCGCGGAAUUCCCGGUGUAGAGGUGAAAUUCGUAGAUAUCGGGAGGAACACCAGUGGCGAAGGCGGCGAUCUGGGCAGACACUGACGCUGAGGUGCGAAAGCGUGGGGAGCAAACAGG
rnacentral:rRNA from 1 species